CAAAGUCCGAUGAAAAUCAACCUAAUCAGUGCGAUUUCUUGUCAAGUGUCCAGUAAAGGCAGUCUAUUCUUCUCCUUAUUCAAUUAUUCAUUUGUUUAUUUAUUCAUUUGCUUGUUUAUUCUUAGAAGAAGAGAAAGACCCGCAAAAGAGCGGUUUAGAUGUCGGCAAUGAGGAAUUUAGUUCAAUGACCCCAAACACCAGAAAACGAUUGUUAUUCAAAGAAGGCUUCCAAGUGAUCGAAUCAUCAAAUGUAAUGGCAGCGAAUCCCACCUCACCAACGUCUCCAUCUUCAUUGAAUCCAAGCAACUUUGAAUUUGAUAAAGACG